rnacentral:lncRNA from 1 species
AUUGACCUCAUCGCAGUCUGGGUAUAAACGGGGCUGGCAAGGGGCGAGGCUGCCUCAGUGCCAGGGCAGGUGGGUGAGCAGGGGGCACCAGAGGGGUCAUGGCAGCUUUCCUGCUCCUGGCACCCCUGCUGCUGCUGGGGACGGCGUCUGGCCAGGCAGACACAGGCACAGGCACAGACACAGAUGGAUGCCUGUGGCUCAGGAACACCACCGAAGGGAAUUUCUCUGUGGAAACAACACCUGAGACUUACCAGCCCAACACAACCUACCUGGUGACCAUCAAGGACGACAGGGACCACAGCAACAGCUCGGGGCCGUUCCUGCUGCAGGCCCUGUCCCCCCAGAACACCUCGGUGGGGCAGUGGGAGAAGUUAAACACGCAGACGUGCAGCUCUGUGCUCACAGCAACGCUGGACGUCUCUGAGAGAGCGGCCAACUGGACAUCCCACGCAGAGAACCACUCCUCAGUGCGGAUCAUGGUCUAUCUCAGGCUCCCUAAUGACAUCACUGAGGUC